rnacentral:tRNA from 1 species
AAGGCUUUAAGUUAACAAAACUCAUAGCCUUCAAAGCUAUAAAUAUAAGUAAUAAUCUUUUAAGCCUUA